AUUGAACGCUGGCGGCAGGCUUAACACAUGCAAGUCGAGCGGGGGAAGGUAGCUUGCUACCGGACCUAGCGGCGGACGGGUGAGUAAUGCUUAGGAAUCUGCCUAUUAGUGGGGGACAACAUCUCGAAAGGGAUGCUAAUACCGCAUACGUCCUACGGGAGAAAGCAGGGGAUCGUCGGACCUUGCGCCAAUAGAUGAGCCUAAGUCGGAUUAGCUAGUUGGUGGGGUAAAGGCCUACCAAGGCGACGAUCUGUAGCGGGUCUGAGGGGAUGAUCCGCCACACUGGGACUGAGACACGGCCCAGACUCCUACGGGAGGCAGCAGUGGGGAAUAUUGGACAAUGGGGGGAACCCUGAUCCAGCCAUGCCGCGUGUGUGAAGAAGGCCUUAUGGUUGUAAAGCACUUUAAGCGAGGAGGAGGCUACUUUAGUUAAUACCUAGAGAUAGUGGACGUUACUCGCAGAAUAAGCACCGGCUAACUCUGUGCCAGCCGCCGCCGUAA
rnacentral:rRNA from 1 species